GUAGGGAAUAUUGCACAAUGGAGGAAACUCUGAUGCAGCGACGCCGCGUGAGUGAUGAAGGCCUUCGGGUCGUAAAGCUCUGUCGCAGGGGAAUAACACAAUGAAGGUACCCUGUAAGAAAGGCUCGGCUAACUUCGUGCCAGCAGCCGCGGUAAGACGAGGGCUCCUAGCGUUGUUCGGAAUCAUUGGGCGUAAAGCGGAUGUAGGUGGCUAUGUAAGUCAGAUGUGAAAGCCUGGGGCUCAACCCCAGAAGUGCAUUUGAUAAUGGGUAGCUUGAGUGUCGGAGAGGUUACUAGAAUUGUUGGUGUAGUGGUGAAAUACGUAGAUAUCAACAGGAAUACCGGAGGCGAAGGCGGGUAACUGGCCGAACACUGACACUGAGAUCCGAAAGCGUGGGGAUCAAACAGGAUUAGAUACCCCAGUAGUCC
rnacentral:rRNA from 1 species